AUAUAAGCAAGCUAAGGAACAGACAGAGUUGUGACGAGAAAAACAGAGGAAAAAGAAAACCAGGAAACAUGAUGUGAAUGCCCAUACAGAUGUGAGAAAUGUCACUGCCAACCAACAUUUCCUAUUCGAAAAGGAGAACGGAAAGUCCAACACUCCAAAACAGCCGGAGUUAGUAGGCUAAGGCACUAUAAUGAGGGAGCUAUAUUUAGUCAGGGGGCUGGACCCUGACCUUCACAGUGAAAAAUGGAUUCUGUCAAAGCUUGUGUCUGGUCUGGGCAGUAUAUCUCUUUGAAAAGCAACAGUUUUCUUUGAACAUUUGA